rnacentral:tRNA from 1 species
GGGGAAUUAGCUUAAAGGAAGAGCACCUGUUUUGCAUACAGGAGGUUAUCGGUUCAAGUCCGUUAUUCUCCA